CAGGGGGGGCAAGCGUUGUUCGGAAUUACUGGGCGUAAAGGGCUCGUAGGCGGCCCACUAAGUCCGACGUGAAAUCCCUAGGCUUAACCUAGGAACUGCGUCGGAUACUGGUGGGCUUGAAUUCGGGAGAGGGAUGCAGAAUUCCAGGUGUAGCGGUGAAAUGCGUAGAUAUCUGGAGGAAUACCGGUGGCGAAGGCGGCAUCCUGGACCGAAAUUGACGCUGAGUGAGCGAAAGCUAGGGGAGCAAACGGGAUUAGAUACCCCGGUAGUCCUAGCCCUAAACGAUGAAUGUUUGGUGUGGCGGGUAUCGAUCCCUGCUGUGCCGAAGCUAACGCAUUAAACAUUCCGCCUGGGGAGUACGGUCGCAAGGCUG
rnacentral:rRNA from 1 species